rnacentral:rRNA from 1 species
UACAGAGGUCUCAAGCGUUUGUUCGGAUUCAUUGGGCGUAAAGGGUGUGUAGGUGGCGCGCUAAGUCGGGUGUGAAAUUUUCGGAGCUUAACUCCGAAACUGCAUUCGAUACUGGCGUGCUUGAGGACUGGAGAGGAGACUGGAAUUCAUGGUGUAGCAGUGAAAUGCGUAGAGAUCAUGAGGAAGACCAGUGGCGAAGGCGGGUCUCUGGACAGUUCCUGACACUGAGACACGAAGGCCAGGGGAGCAAACGGG